rnacentral:rRNA from 1 species
CCUACGGGCGGCUGCAGUGGGGGAUAUUGCACAAUGGGGGGAACCCUGAUGCAGCGACGCCGCGUGGGUGAAGGAGCGUUUCGGCGCGUAAAGCCCUAUCGGCAAGGAAGAAGAUGACGGUACCUGACCAAGAAGCCCCGGCUAACUACGUGCCAGCAGCCGCGGUAAUACGUAGGGGGCAAGCGUUAUCCGGAUUUACUGGGUGGAAAGGGGGCGCAGACGGCAAUGCAAGCCAGGAGUGAAAGCCCGGGGCCCAACCCCGGGACUGCUCUUGGAACUGCAUGGCUGGAGUACAGGAGGGGCAGGCGGAAUUCCUAGUGUAGCGGUGAAAUGCGUAGAUAUUAGGAGGAACACCGGUGGCGAAGGCGGCCUGCUGGACUGUGACUGACGUUGAGGCCCGAAGGCGUGGGGAGCAAACAGGAUUAGAUACCCGAGUAGUC